rnacentral:rRNA from 1 species
AUUGAACGCUGGCGGCAUGCCUUACACAUGCAAGUCGAACGGUAACGGGCCUUCGGGUGCCGACGAGUGGCGAACGGGUGAGUAAUACAUCGGAACGUGCCCGUUCGUGGGGGAUAACGAGGCGAAAGCUUUGCUAAUACCGCAUACGAUCUACGGAUGAAAGCAGGGGACCGCAAGGCCUUGCGCGGACGGAGCGGCCGAUGGCAGAUUAGGUAGUUGGUGGGAUAAAAGCUUACCAAGCCGACGAUCUGUAGCUGGUCUGAGAGGAUGAUCAGCCACACUGGGACUGAGACACGGCCCAGACUCCUACGGGAGGCAGCAGUGGGGAAUUUUGGACAAUGGGCGCAAGCCUGAUCCAGCCAUGCCGCGUGCAGGAUGAAGGCCUUCGGGUUGUAAACUGCUUUUGUACGGAACGAAAAGCCUUCUUUUAAUACAGGAGGGUCAUGACGGUACCGUAAGAAUAAGCACCGGCUAACUACGUG